CCAAAUUCAGGAAACCUAAUCAACCAAAAUCGAUUUCAUCGUCUUCUCUAUCUCUUUCUCUCUUCAUCGUCAUUCAUCAUCAUCAUGAUCAUCAUUCAUCAUCAUCAUGAUCAUCAUCAUGAUCAUCAUGAUCAUCAUCAUCAUCAUCAAAUCUCAGGAUCUUCAAGGUGGUUCUUCUCGUUCGUAGCUACCUUCUAGACUGUGAUUUCCAAUCUUUGAACUCUCGGUGAGUUUCUAGGUUGGGUUUUAUCUCCCUUUCGGAAAUCCUGUCACACCUCCGCUGAAUUAGAUCAAUUUCAUUAGCUUAUCAGUUUUAAUCAAUUUGGGUAACAACAGAGGAUUGUCAACCUAGCAAAUCCCUAAUCAAGAGUUUCUUCAAAUUCAGUGUGUCAAUAUAAUCGAGCAAUUAGUGAAGUAGGCGAGAUUGUUGGUGAAUCCUAUUUUCACGUUUUACUACAUGACAUAUAUCUUCACCUUCGAUCAAUUCAUGUCGUUCGGAAUGUUAACUAUUGUGGUUAGUGAUAGCAUCUUCCUAUCUCAGUUCUUCGAUUUGUGGUUUUUUACAUAUAGACCAAAGUCACGGUCUUUUUUUGUUCUUUUCACAAUUUUUUUUUAUCAGAAUUUCCAGAUAUUUAACCAAAGAAACAACAGAUAAAUGUUCUGUUUCUUGAAGGUGAGUUCUUCACAAAACUGGAUGGUUCGAUAUGAAGCAGAUAGUACGCUCUUUAUAUUCAUACAUCAAAUGCCUUUUGGACCAAGAACAAUAAGGUUACUUGUCGACGAAGCUAUAUUUUAAUACAACUUUUCUCAUGUUAUAAUUCGUCUAAUAAACAUCUUGGCAAACAUGCAUCCUUGUAUGUCUCGUAGACAACACCUUUGUAAGUCCUUAAAUCUUCAUCGCAUGUUGGACCUUUUAGAAAACAAAAGAGAAGUUUCAAAUGUGAAUCUCUUUCCAUCUUAUUUGAAGCAAAUGUUGUCCUCUACUCUUGAUUGUUCUUUGCCUUCUUUGAGAAUAUUUUUCCUCUUUGAUUCCAUGUAAAAUCUGUUUUCUUUUAGAUAUAAAGGUUAGUAAUAAGUUAUAGUAGCUUUAAUAUGAAAUUCAAUUAAUACAUAUUCUUGAGUUAGUUAAAUAACAUGAAAUAGUCCAAUAAACAGAAAAUAGAUUUAAUUUUUUUGAUGACGUUUGAUUUAAUAUAAUCAUUGGUUUAGGAUCGGAAUAACUUUACCUCAAUCAUCUCAAAGACCCCUUUGAUGGUUUCUUUUGUUCCCUGCCAAAUUACAAAAAUAAAUAUUUUCAUUUUAAAAUGAUACAAAUCAAUGUUAUACAAACAAUUGCUUUUGAAGGAUUUAUUUAAAAAGCUUACAUGUCGAAGGUUUCACCAAAUUUUGUGGUGUAUGUCUUCCAGGUACGAAAAACUGUCACUUGGAUUGGUCGUAAAUGUUUUCCAUGUAUGCAAGACACUGACUUGCACUUACCAACCCGUUUUGUACGGCUUCACAUCAUCAAUGAAAGCAAAAGAUGAAACAUUGUCAAAAGGAGAAGAAAGAGACGUUUGCUGUGAAUAGAGGUAAUUGCUGGAUGAAAAUGGUAUGUGAGAAUGACGUUAAUAUAUAGUGUAGAAGGAGGGUAGGGUUUUUGGCUCCAGUAUCUUCGAAAAUCUUGGAGAGAAAGUUAAAAUAUCUUGAAUAUUAACGAAAAUAUAUUUUUUAGAAUGUAUCGAAAUGAAUGAUACACAGAUUUAAGGGAAAUAAGGAUAUUGAGUAGUAGGUUAUAGUUAGGAUUUAAGAAAAGAGAAGAUUUUAGAAAUAUUUGAUUAUCAAUUAGGCGAG
rnacentral:lncRNA from 1 species